rnacentral:rRNA from 1 species
UACGUAGGAUGCGAGCGUUGUCCGGAAUUAUUGGGCGUAAAGGGCUCGUAGGCGGUUUGUCGCGUCGGGAGUGAAAACCAGGUGCUUAACACCUGGCUUGCUUUCGAUACGGGCAGACUAGAGGUAUUCAGGGGAGAACGGAAUUCCUGGUGUAGCGAUGAAAUGCGCAGAUAUCAGGAGGAACACCGGUGGCGAAGGCGGUUCUCUGGGAAUGACCUGACGCUGAGGAGCGAAAGUGUGGGGAGCGAACAGG